GACGAACGCUGGCGGCGUGCCUAAUACAUGCAAGUCGAGCGCAGGAAACUGACGGAACUCUUCGGAGGGAAGGCAGUGGAAUGAGCGGCGGACGGGUGAGUAACACGUAAGGAACCUGCCUCAAGGAUUGGGAUAACUCCGAGAAAUCGGAGCUAAUACCGGAUAGUUCAACGGACCGCAUGGUCCGCUGAUGAAAGGCGCUCCGGCGUCACCUUGAGAUGGCCUUGCGGUGCAUUAGCUAGUUGGUGGGGUAACGGCCCACCAAGGCGACGAUGCAUAGCCGACCUGAGAGGGUGAUCGGCCACACUGGGACUGAGACACGGCCCAGACUCCGACGGGAGGCAGCAGUAGGGAAUCUUCCACAAUGGACGAAAGUCUGAUGGAGCAACGCCGCGUGAGUGAUGAAGGUUUUCGGAUCGUAAAACUCUGUUGUAAGGGAAGAACACGUACGAGAGGAAAUGCUCGUACCUUGACGGUACCUUACGAGAAAGCCACGGCUAACUACGUGCCAGCCGCCGCGGUAA
rnacentral:rRNA from 1 species